GCCUUCGUGGUGUAGUGGUCAGCACGCUCGACGCGCAUUCGAGAGGUCCGUGGUUCGAGUCCCGCCGAGGGCA
rnacentral:tRNA from 1 species